CCUUGAGCCCAAGACCCUGCAGGAGCGAUGGCUGGGGGACGGUGUCCUGGGGUGCCAGGGCUGAAGGGAACCUCAGCCGAACCCAGGUUGAGGGCGUUUCAGGGUUAACAAGGUUUUCUCUAUUGCCAGGGUGACGGGAAUUGAACUCUCUCCGCGAUUUAUUUUAAUUAGAACUAAAUAAUACGGCAUUAGGGAGCACCAAAGGAAUCGUAAGGGGAAGGAGGAGGAAGGGGAGAUGCUGAAGUUGGGUCAUUCCCAAGGCUUCGGGUCUGCGAGGUCCACUGACUCACCGGGAGAAAGGGCUGCGGCACCGACGGACGCUGCGCGUCAGCACAGGGUGGUAGAUCGCAGCUCGGUGUUGGUUCGUUGCAGGUUACAGAGCCCUCGUGCAAUUAAAGAGAGCCGUUUCCAGUCUUCUUAAGCAAAACUGGCAUUACUUGCAACAGGUGAGAAAUGCGUGCUGCAGACCCAAGACAGCAAACUGGUUCACAGGCUGCAGUUGCCAUAUCGGUUCCUAAAGCCGCUUGUAGGAAAUCACUCAGCCUAAAGAAACUCCUGGGAUCCCAGCCUCUACUUCCUCUUUCAAAAUGCAUGGGAGAACUUGUCUGGCCUAUCGGGCGGGGAAUUUAAUUGCAAGAAGGCUCUGGAGGACGGAUGGUUGGUGCUGGAAGGUAGCUGUACCGUUAGCAUGUUACCCGCCCCCAAAAAGGAGCAUCCAGGCUCUAAUCCAUACCCCCAAGUCAUGCCAGCUAGCUGGGAACCAAAGCACGCCCACACUCGAGUUGGAGACUUCUGUGCUCAGACAAGGAGGAUUACGGACAUCAUAUGACUAAUUCUGCAAUGACGGUAUAUGCUUAAUUGUUGCCACUGAAAUCAUUGGAAUUCAGCACUUCAGCGUUUGGGAAGACCUGCCACAAUAGCAAUCCCCUGUUUGCAAUCAAGGAGAUUGCAAGAGCAAUCACAUGCAUAUUUAGCUGAUGUGCAGCUCCUAGGAUUGUAGGGGUACAGAAACAAGCUAAGAAAUAAGUGUGCCAUAACUGUGGAAGUUCAUUAUUCUAGAGCAUUAAAAAUCCAGCCUUUCUUUGACAAGGAAACGCUGCACAUGAGUGGAGCUUUUCCACGUGAAAUGUUGCAAAGGAAUCUCGGUUAUGUUUAGCGUUAGGGAGGCACAAAGGAAAUCUCAUUAGAACCCACUGACAAUGAUCUGUUAUAAAGGGAACAGGAGCAAUUCAUGAGCUCGGGGAAAAAUAAGAGCGCAUCUCUGUUCUGCCCCUGUCCUCACUGUCUGCUGCUACUCUAGGACACAGAUUUCUUGAGAGAAGGAUCUGUGCCUUCUUGCUCAUUUAGCUCUUAUACAUCAUGUUUUAUUUGCUAGGAGACUUGAACGAUGAGCAGCAAGCACUCUUGUUCCUAUUUUAAAUGCAUGGGAACUGCAGUACAGAGAAAUAAAAUGACUUGCGCAGGGUCACAGAGCAAUUCUGUGGCAGGGCUAGGACCAGAACCCAGCUCCCUUGCUCCCAAACCUUCAUCUCUUCAUUGACCCUUAAUUUUAAUCACUUUCCAAGGAAGUCUGUUGGUGUCUUCCAGUUGACUUCCAUGGGAGUAAUGCCAGGUAUCAAAUGAAGUCACUGGGAAUAUCAAUGCAAAAGAAGCCAAUAUUAGAUGCAAAGAAAGAACUGAUGGAAGGGGAAAAAAUAGAUCUUACAAAAAAAGGAGUAAGUUCUAGUGCCGCUUCCAUAAUAUCAUUCCCUCUUUAAUUUGUGCCUGGUCAAAAUUAAAAAAAAAAUAGAUUGCUAAUAUUAAUAGAUGAAAUGAAUCUUGAAUUUUAUAAUAGUGGAGGAAAUGAAAGGACCAAAGUAAUAUUGUGUUGUUAACUGAGAUUUUAAUAAUGAUUCUGUCCUCAGUUGGUGCAUUUGUUCCACAGAAAGUAAAUCAUUAAUGAAGAGGGGGGGAAAACAGUUUUAUGGUGAUGGAUUUUUGAAAGAAAAGUUUAAUUUUGCUUAACUUUUAGAAACUCAGAAAUAUGCCUGGAGCUCUAAAACUAAAAGACAAACGCCUCCAAACCAGUCCACAAGGAUGGGAUUUAGCCAAGUGGCUAACACUGCCUGGGGCAGGAUGGAGUAAUGUCCAUUGCUCCUCUCCGAGAGAGCUGAGCUAUUUCUGAAUGGCAUCUGGAGAGCACUAAGGACAUCAUCCUCACCCUAAACCAAAGGAGAUCUAACUGGGCUCAUCCUAUGGUUUCUGUGGACUUCUGCAAAAUCUGCUUCCACCACGUCCUCUGCAUGGGAUGGGUGGACUCAAACCACUCUUGGUGCCAUGAGAGUGUUUGACUUCCCAAGUGAAGAAAGAGCCUGCCAAGGCUAGCAUGUCCAGCGGUGGCUCUUGACCUACCCACCGCUAUCUUCAGCCGCCUCCAAGGAGUCCCAAAAAAAUGGCUCCCUGGAGCAGCAAUGCAUUUCACACCAAGCCCCUGGUUUGAUAUGUCGAGCAUAGAAAGGAUCGCGGUCUCACAGUGGUGGAGAAGAAAAGCAUCUCUGUAGCUGGGAUUUGGUGCCUAAGAAAAAGCAAAUAUGGAACAUACGUGCCUGCAUGUGCAUGAAGGAGAUGGGGGGAAAACACAGAAUUCCCCUGAUUCCUUAAUGAGCGCAGCACCCCAACAAUGAAUGUAGAAAUUUGCAAAUUAAAUGACAUUUUUGUAUGUAAAUUAUCAAAUCAAUAAAGAGAUGUAAACAUUAAACAACA